rnacentral:ncRNA from 1 species
CGACUCCGUCCGCCGUCAAAUCCCAGGGCUCAACCCUGGACAGGCGGUGGAAACUACCAAGCUGGAGUACGGUAGGGGCAGAGGGAAUUUCCGGUGGAGCAGUGAAAUGCACUGAGAUCGGAAAGAACACCAACGGCGAAAAUGGCUGUCCUUGACCCAACGGGAG